GAAUAAGCACCGGCNAACUACGUGCCAGCAGCCGCGGUAAUACGUAGGGUGCAAGCGUUAUCCGGAUUUAUUGGGCGUAAAGGGCUCGUAGGCGGUUCGUCGCGUCCGGUGUGAAAGUCCAUCGCUUAACGGUGGAUCCGCGCCGGGUACGGGCGGGCUUGAGUGCGGUAGGGGAGACUGGAAUUCCCGGUGUAACGGUGGAAUGUGUAGAUAUCGGGAAGAACACCAAUGGCGAAGGCAGGUCUCUGGGCCGUUACUGACGCUGAGGAGCGAAAGCGUGGGGAGCGAACAGGAUUAGAUACCCUGGUAGUCCACGCCGUAAACGGUGGAUGCUGGAUGUGGGGCCCUUUUUCCGGGUCCUGUGUCGGAGCUAACGCGUUAAGCAUCCCGCCUGGGGAGUACGGCCGCAAGGCUAAAACUCAAAGAAAUUGACGGGGGCCCGCACAAGCGGCGGAGCAUGCGGAUUAAUUCGAUGCAACGCGAAGAACCUUACCUGGGCUUGACAUGUGCCGGACGCCCGCGGAGACGCGGGUUCCCUUCGGGGCCGGUUCACAGGUGGUGCAUGGUCGUCGUCAGCUCGUGUCGUGAGAUGUUGGGUUAAGUCCCGCAACGAGCGCAACCCUCGCCGCGUGUUGCCAGCGGGUCAUGCCGGGAACUCACGUGGGACCGCCGGGGUUAACUCGGAGGAAGGUGGGGAUGACGUCAGAUCAUCAUGCCCCUUACGUCCAGGGCUUCACGCAUGCUACAAUGGCCGGUACAACGGGGUGCGACACGGUGACGUGGGGCGGAUCCCUGAAAACCGGUCUCAGUUCGGAUCGCAGUCUGCAACUCGACUGCGUGAAGGUGGAGUCGCUAGUAAUCGCGGAUCAGCAACGCCGCGGUGAAUGCGUUCCCGGGCCUUGUACACACCGCCCGUCAAGUCAUGAAAGUGGGCAGCACCCGAAGACGGUGGCCUAACCCUUGUGGGGGGAGCCGUCUAAGGUGAGGCUCGUGAUUGGGACUAAGUCGUAACAAGGUAGCCGUACCGGAAGGUGCGGCUG
rnacentral:rRNA from 1 species